rnacentral:lncRNA from 1 species
CGCAGAAUCUACGUCCAGAAUCGGAGCCAAUGAUGAAGUUUACGAUGACAUGCGUCACCACCCACGUCUCGUCGGCAGAGAGGGCAGAGCGGCGAUGCCAUGGUGGAAAUGGAGGCGUGUGCAGACGCAGUUGCCUCUGUCUUCGACUGUGGCUCUGCCUCAUGGUUCUGUCUUUCGAAAAACAAACAAAAACCGAAUCAAUUUACCACAAAAUCGAUUUGAAAUUGUUGCUGUCUCUGCGCUCCCCUCCAUUUUGGUUUGCGUCUGUUCCUCU